CCUACGGGUGGCAGCAGUGAGGAAUAUUGGUCAAUGGGCGCGAGCCUGAACCAGCCAAGUCGCGUGAGGGAUGAAGGUUCUAUGGAUCGUAAACCUCUUUUAUAAGGGAAUAAAGUGUGGGACGUGUCCUAUUUUGUAUGUACCUUAUGAAUAAGGAUCGGCUAACUCCGUGCAAGCAGCCGCGGUAAUACGGAGGAUCCGAGCGUUAUCCGGAUUUAUUGGGUUUAAAGGGUGCGUAGGCGGCCUUUUAAGUCAGCGGUGAAAGCCGGGGGGUCAACCAUAGAAUGGCCGUGAAAACUGGGGGGUUGAGGUAUGUUGAAGGAAGGCGGAAGCGGGGGGGUGGCGGUGAAAUG
rnacentral:rRNA from 1 species